rnacentral:rRNA from 1 species
UACGUAGGGUCCAAGCGUUGUUCGGAUUUACUGGGCGUAAAGGGCGCGUAGGCGGCGCGGUAAGUCACUUGUGAAAUCUCUGAGCUUAACUCAGAACGGCCAAGUGAUACUGCAGUGCUAGAGUGUGGAAGGGGCAAUCGGAAUUCUUGGUGUAGCGGUGAAAUGCGUGGACAUCAAGAGGAACACCUGAGGUGAAGACGGGUUGCUGGGCCAACACUGACGCUGAUGCGCGAAAGCCAGGGGAGCAGACGGG